AACUGCCUGGGAUUCACUGCAGUGUUAGCUGCUUCACAAUUAGCCCCCUCAGGCAUCUUAAUCAGUUUACAGAAAGUAUGCUUAUAGAUGUUAUACAUUUUCAUAAACAUAAAAAUACAAUAUUAAUGAAAUAAAACCCUAAAAAUAUUUUUAACAAAAUAGAGUCCAGACACCUGCUGAGCCCUGCACCCAUCCAGCACCAGUGUGGGGACCCCGUGAGGAGGGGUCAUGAUAAGAGGAGAGCUGGCUCCAGCAUGCGCUUCCCCGAGCAGCUGGCUCCACACCAGCCCUGUGGGGAGCUGCCCCUGCAACAUGGGGAACCUGAGGCCUGCUGUGUCCACAGCCUACACCCCUGUACCAGCAUCCACCCAGGUCAUGGCAUGGAGGGUCUUUCUGAGCAGACGUUCUCCACAGGGUUGACUACAGCUGUGACAUUUUUCUUGUCUCUGUAUAUUUACUUAUAUGUACAGUUCUCUAAGUACCUCUGUUAUCUCUGUAUUACAGACUCCACAGAUAUUGAGCACUCUUCCUCUUCUCAGAAGCCAAGUUUGUCAUCACAAAAGGUGUUGAAUCCUUCACCUAUUCCUGAAAGGGUGUUGGAGGCUGAAGAGCAGACAUUUCACAGCCUGAGCAACUCCAGAGUGGUGAGCUUGGGGCCUCGGUGUUGGUGGCCAGUGCCUUGCUUCCUUGACCAGGCAAUAGAGUGGAGUGGUCAUUAGGUCUUUGUGGGGCCACCUUGUACCUUUCAGUACUGACCUGACCCCACAAUGAAGCCGCUGCUUAGCUUAGUUUUCCUUAGCAUUUGCUCCUGAGCUCCACCAUAUCCCUUGCAGUACUCCAUUCUUGGGGUGGAGGCAUAGCCACACAUUGCAGGUGUUUUUAUCUCACUUGUUUAUGUGGAUCUUCUAAGUUGGAAUGAGCCAUCAUGACCAUCUGGAGCCACAGUGACUCUGUCAUGUGGAAGAGGAAGUAUAUCAGGUGGUUUUCCAGGGGGCUCAUCCUCAUUAGGUAUUGCGAGUUUUUCCACCCUCAGAGGAACCUAGAAGUCCUGUGGACAACAUUGCCGUACCAUUGGAGGCUUUGAGACAUGAGCAAGGGCCACCCAGGUGAGCAGAGGAAGCCGUGGACCCAUCCAUUGCAUUGAUUUCUGCUCUGAUCUUUAUAAUUUCCUCCCUUGUAUGAGCUUUGGGGUUGUCCUCUUCUUCUUUUUCUAGAAGCUUGAGGUUCAGCAUCAGGUUGUUUAAUUGGGCUUGCUCUGUUUUCCUAAUAUGAGUAUUCACUGUGAAUUUCCCUUGCUUUCAUUGUGUCCCAUAGAUUCCGAUACGUUGUAUUGUCAUUGUCAUUUAAUUGUAGGAACUGUCUGAUUUCUUCUUUAAUUUCCUCUGUGACUCAUUGGCUAUUCAGAAGUGUGUUAUUCAAUUUCCAUGUAUUUCUGAAAUUCUUGCGGUUUCUUUUGCUAUUGAUGUCCAAUUUCCUCACACUAUGGUCUGAUAAUUCACAGGGGAUAAGGUCAAUUCCUUUGCGCUUACUUAAGCAUGUUCUAUGAGUGAGUAUAUGGUCUAUUUUGGAGAAUGACCCGUGUGCAGCUGAAAAGAUUGUGUAUUCUGAUUUUGUGGGGUGGAACACUCUGUAAACAUCUGUUCAUUUCAU
rnacentral:lncRNA from 1 species